AACGAACGCUGGCGGCAUGCCUAACACAUGCAAGUCGAACGAGAUCUUCGGGUCUAGUGGCGCACGGGUGCGUAACGCGUGGGAAUCUGCCCUUUGGUUCGGAAUAACAGUUGGAAACGACUGCUAAUACCGGAUGAUGACGAAAGUCCAAAGAUUUAUCGCCAGAGGAUGAGCCCGCGUAGGAUUAGCUAGUUGGUGUGGUAAAGGCGCACCAAUGCGACGAUCCUUAGCUGGUCUGAGAGGAUGAUCAGCCACACUGGGACUGAGACACGGCCCAGACUGCUACGGGAGGCAGCAGUGGGGAAUAUUGGACAAUGGGCGAAAGCCUGAUCCAGCAAUGCCGCGUGAGUGAUGAAGGCCUUAGGGUUGUAAAGCUCUUUUACCCGGGAUGAUAAUGACAGUACCGGGAGAAUAAGCUCCGGCUAACUCCGUGCCAGCAGCCGCGGUAA
rnacentral:rRNA from 1 species